rnacentral:tRNA from 1 species
GGCUAGGCCCGCAAGGCAAAGCAGAGCUUUGCAAGCCGGAGGUCGCCGGUUCGAUCCCGGCACGCUCCA